rnacentral:rRNA from 1 species
AGAGUUUGAUCAUGGCUCAGAUUGAACGCUGGCGGCAUGCUUAAUACAUGCAAGUCGAACGGUAACAUGCCCUCCGGGGUGAUGACGAGUGGCGGACGGGUGAGUAACGCAUAGGAAUCUACCUAGUAGUGGGGGACAACUUGGGGAAACUCAAGCUAAUACCGCAUACAUCCUACGGGAAAAAGAGGGCCUCUUCUUGAAAGCUCUUGCUAUUAGAUGAGCCUAUGUCAGAUUAGCUUGUUGGUGGGGUAACGGCCUACCAAGGCGACGAUCUGUAGCUGGUCUGAGAGGAUGAUCAGCCACACUGGGACUGAGACACGGCCCAGACUCCUACGGGAGGCAGCAGUAGGGAAUAUUGGACAAUGGGCGCAAGCCUGAUCCAGCAAUGCCGCGUGUGUGAAGAAGGCCUGCGGGUUGUAAAGCACUUUCAAUUAGGAAGAAAAGCUCAAGGUUAAUAACCUUGAGUCUUGACAUUAUCCAAUAGAAGAAGCACCGGCUAACUCUGUGCCAGCCGCCGCGGUAAUACCGAGGGU